rnacentral:rRNA from 1 species
GACGAACGCUGGCGGCGUGCUUAACACAUGCAAGUCGAGCGAUGAAGUUCUUUCGGGAAUGGAUUAGCGGCGGACGGGUGAGUAACACGUGGGUAACCUGCCUCAUAGAGGGGAAUAGCCUUCCGAAAGGAAGAUUAAUACCGCAUAAGAUUGUAGUUUCGCAUGAAACAGCAAUUAAAGGAGCAAUCCGCUAUGAGAUGGACCCGCGUCGCAUUAGCUAGUUGGUGAGGUAACGGCUCACCAAGGCGACGAUGCGUAGCCGACCUGAGAGGGUGAUCGGCCACAUUGGGACGGAGACACGGCCCAGACUCCUACGGGGGGCAGCAGUGGGGAAUAUUGCACAAUGGGGGAAACCCUGAUGCAGCAACGCCGCGUGAGUGAUGACGGUCUUCGGAUUGUAAAACUCUGUCUUCAGGGACGAUAAUGACGGUACCUGAGGAGGAAGCCACGGCUAACUACGUGCCAGCCGCCGCAGUAA